rnacentral:tRNA from 1 species
GGAGAGGUGGCAGAGUGGUUGAAUGCGCCUGACUCGAAAUCAGGUUUGGGGCAACCCAACGGGGGUUCGAAUCCCCCCCUCUCCG